rnacentral:rRNA from 1 species
CCUACGGGGGGCUGCAGUGGGGAAUAUUGGACAAUGGGGGCAACCCUGAUCCAGCCAUGCCGCGUGUGUGAAGAAGGCCCUCGGGUUGUAAAGCACUUUCAGUGAGGAAGAACGCCUGGUGGUUAAUACCCAUCAGGAAAGACAUCACUCACAGAAGAAGCACCGGCUAACUCCGUGCCAGCAGCCGCGGUAAUACGGAGGGUGCGAGCGUUAAUCGGAAUUACUGGGCGUAAAGCGCGCGUAGGUGGCUGGAUAAGCCGGUUGUGAAAGCCCCGGGCUCAACCUGGGAACGGCAUCCGGAACUGUCAAGCUAGAGUGCAGGAGAGGAAGGUAGAAUUCCCGGGGUAGCGGUGAAAUGCGUAGAGAUCGGGAGGAAUACCAGUGGCGAAGGCGGCCUUCUGGACUGACACUGACACUGAGGUGCGAAAGCGUGGGUAGCAAACAGGAUUAGAUACCCCAGUAGUC